rnacentral:lncRNA from 7 species
GAUGCAGUUACAACACUCGCCUGCCACCUAUUUAAUGGCUGGGGAUUUCAUUUCCUUCUAACCUUUUCUUUUGGGGAUUUCUUCCCCAGUUCCCUUUAGCUUCUAUUGACUUAUUUGUUUCUUUAUUAUUAUUACCAUUUUGUAUUUAUUUUCUUUAUGGCUUCAGGGAGGAGCUGCAGCACUCUGAGGGGCUGAUGGGGCUCAGCUGUGCUCCUGGCUCUCCCAUUCUGCUCCAGGAACCAAUUUCUCCUUCCUCACUGUGCUUUAACUUCAGCUGAGCUCUCAUAAAGUUCUCUUUUAAAGCCUGUGUUUGAGCAUAGAAAAGAGAAGCCCUUCUUGCAACAUGCCUCAAGAUGCUGGAGGAGGAUGCUCCCCUUGGCUUCAGUCUGGGAGUCAGGAGCAGGCUGGGUACCCAGAUCCUUGCAAGGAGGGGCAGAACUGAUGUCUCACAGAGCAGUGCUAGGAUGAGCUUGCAAGUGAGGAUGGAGAGAAGAUGCUUCCUUUUGCAGUAAUUCUCCACCAGUGGAUAAAGCACAUCUGGCAUGCUCUCUGGGAGGAAGAAUCCUCAUGCCACAAAUAAGAAAUGCCUAUAUCUGCAUAAGAUCAGGUUGGUGGGACCAGCAAAUAAGGAAUAGGCACGCCUUACCCUACGUUCUAAAAUUCAUCUGUAUCUGGUCAUAUUUCUGAUGUUAUCUGCAUGAAGGAUUCUUCUUUGUUUGAUUUGAAUCUUUUCUUUUUGGCUACUGAAACCAUACUGUGGCAUGCAGGUUAAAUCUGCUGUUUAGUCUGGAGGUUGUGCUCUCCUGCCUCACAGAGUUACACUUGAAGGCUUUUCGUGUGGAGGUUCAAUUGAACUCUUCAGUUCAUCCCACCCCAGACUUGUUCCUUGGCUCUGAUAUCAGUAACAAAUAAUAACUAUCUAUUUUUGCAUACAUUAGAAGUCUGAUGCCUGUACUAAGGAAGUGGUUACGGCUCCUCUUCCACCUACUCUGGAAAGAUUCCUAGUAAUGAAUACUUUUCCAUGUAUGAAUGUCUUUAUUUUCUUUUUCUUGGCUUCUUCCCAGAUUCUUUAAAUACAGAUUUUCCUAAAAC